rnacentral:tRNA from 1 species
GGGGAUGUAGCUCAGCUGGGAGAGCGCGUGCUUUGCAAGCAUGAGGCCAGGGGUUCGAUCCCCCUCAUCUCCACCC